UUUGUGCGGCCGACUAUUGGCGCCGUGUCUUGCCAUUUGUGUGAGCUAUCUUACUUUGCCUUUCAAGUGCUUGCGUGAUGUUACCUGACCUAUGGGUAUUGGUGCUUCAUACAUAGUUGCCUCGUGGUGGACGCCUUUGGGUGUGCUGCUGCGGCCAUAUGGCGAUUGUGGCGUUGCCUCGUGGUGCUGGUUCUYCUGGCCGGUGCUAUCAAGGCAGCCUUGCUCUCGUUAUUGGUUUUGGAUGUCGCUCAUGAUAUAUAUCCUCGUGGCCCAUUUGGUUGCCUCGGGGCCUGACCCUAAGAACGCUCUCCGACUUUGAGAACAUCGUUGAACGAAUGUUGCCUCUACCUUUCCACAACUAGUGGAAGGAUUACGCAGCAUACUCGAGUCCGAUCCCCAAAUAAGUCGGACGAGCAAGACCCUAAGAAUGCUCUCCGACUUUGAGAACAUCGUUGAAGGAAUGUUGCCUCUACCUUUCCACAUCAAGUGGCAGG
rnacentral:misc_RNA from 1 species